rnacentral:rRNA from 1 species
GGACUACUGGGGUUUCUAAUCCUGUUUGCUCCCCUUGCUUUCGCACCUCAGCGUCAGGAAUAAUCUAGAAAAGCGCCUUCGCCACCGGUGUUCUUCCACAUAUCUACGCAUUUCACCGCUACACGUGGAAUUCCCUUUUCUCCGACCAUCCUCUAGAAUGGGAGUUUUAGAUGCGGGUCCGGAGUUGAGCCCCGGGAUUUCACAUCUAACUUUCCACUCCGCCUACGUGCUCUUUACGCCCAAUGAAUCCGAUUAACGCUUGCACCCUCCGUAUUACCGCGGCUGCUGGCAC